GUAGUGAGCCAAGGUCGUGCCACUGCACUCCAGCCUGGGUGACAGAGUGAGACUCCGUCUCAAUAAAUACAUACAUACAUACAUACGUAAACUGUUUUCUUCCUUUCUUCCUUUCUUUUUCUUUCUUUAUUUCCUUUCUUUCUUUCUCUUUCUUUCUUUCUUCCUUUCCUUUCCUUCUUCUUUCUUUUCUUUCUUUUUUUUUUUUUUUUCAUACAAUGUCUUGCUCUGUCUUCCAGGCUGAGUGCAAUGGCUCAAUCUUGGCUCAAUGCAACUUCUGCCUCCCAGGUUCAAGCGAUUCUCCUGCCUCAGCCUCCCAAGUAGCUGGGAUUACAGGUGCUGGCCACCACACCCAGCUAAUUUUUGUAUUUUUUAUAGAGAUAGGGUUUCGCCAUGUUGGCCAGGCUGGUCUUGAACUCCUGACCUCAGGUAAUCCAUCCGCCUUGGCCUCCCAAAGUGCUGGGAUUACAGGCAUCAGCCACCAAGCCUGGCCUAAGCUGUUAUCUUUCUAAGAUUCAAUGCAGACAAGGAAUAUGCAUCACACAUUUAGAACUUCACAAAUGACUGCACACUUAUGCAGCUGCCAGAUGCUGACUCUAACAGAUUAUUUCUUUGGCCAGAGAAUGUAGAAAUAGUUCUCUCCACUUCUCUAGACAAUAGACACUUCUGCUACCCUCAAAAUCAGAUGAAAUGAGAGUAGUACCAAGGUAGUGAGGACAUUUUGAGGAGUAUUAGGUUAGGGCAGUACUUUUUUUUGUUUUUUGAGACAGGGUCUUAGGGUUUCUGUCACCCAGGCUGGAGUGCAGUAGCGUGAUCUCGGCUUACUGCAACCUCCACCUCCUGGGCUCAACCGAUCGUCCUGCCUCAACCUCUUGAGUAGCUGGGAAUACAGGUGUGCACCACCAGGCCCGGAUAAUUUUUGUAUUUUUAGUAGAGAUGGGGUUUCGCUAUGUCGUCCAGGCUGGUCUUGAACUCCUGGACUCAAGCUAUCUGCCCUCCUCUGCCUCCUAAAGUGCUACGGUUACAGGCAUGAGCCACUGUGCCUGGCCAUAGGACAGUUUUGUUUGUUUGUUUUUUGUCUUAUUUUUAAGAGACAGAGUCUUGCUAUGCUGCCCAGGCUGGUCUCAAGCUCUUGGACCCAAGCAAUUCUCUUGCCUUGGUCUCCCAAAGUAUUGGGAUUACAGGUGUGAGCCACUGUGUUCAGCCAGUACUUUUUUUUUUUUUUUUUAAUUUAGAGUCAGUGUCUUGCUCUGUCACUCAGGCUGGAGUGCAGUGGCAAGAUCACUGCAGCCCUGAACUCCUUGACUCAAGUGAACUUCCAGCCCCAGCCUCUCAGAGUGUUGGGAUUUACAGGUUUGAGUCACCACACUGGGCUCUAGGGCAGAACUUUGUGGCCAAAUUUUAUGUCCUGGAUUUCCACUUGAGCAUUGAGAAUUCUGGGUUUGGAAAUUUGAUGGAGACAGGAGAAAUCCCAUCCUUACUUCAGGCACUUACUGAACCUAGUGUAUGUGGAAGGAAGAGGGGAUGCACUUAGAAUGGGCAUAGGAUAUAAGAGAAUAAUGAUAAAGAAUAUUUAUAAUCAGAACUUCUCACACUCAGGACGAGGAAGGAGAAUCUCUAACAGAGUCACAGCAUGAUUAUUUCAGCUUUUUCCUGUUUCCUUCCUCUGUACUUUGGGUCCCUCUUUCCUUUCUAGCGUUCCCUCUUCCUUCAUCAGACACACUGUGUGGCAAACUUAAGCCCCAAACCACAACCUUGACAAAUUCCAAAUGGAUUUUGUCAGCAAGGCCAACACACCCCUUCGCCACUCCCUAUCCCUGCUCCUAGCACAUGCACUGGGGUCAGCGACAGGGUUGGAGUAUGCAACCCACAGAGCUGGUGGCUACAAUUUCAGCUUUUACUAGGCUCCAAUGGCAGCCAGAGGGAGGGAGAAAGGCUGAUGAACUGUAAGACGGGCCUCUUGUCCCUCUUCAGCUCCAGAUGAGUUCUACUCCUGCUGGCCUUUACCAAGUGGCUGGGAAGUUAGGGAGGGGCAGUGGCCAGCUAAUUGCCAGCUGGGCAGCACUCCUCCUAUCUCUGCUCCUGUUUGCUCCAUGGGCAGCGCACUCUGAUGCUGCAACAGACGUUUUCUUCUUCAGACUCCAGACAGGUGAAGGACAGAAGCGCUGGGAGAUUCUCUAGUCCCAUUAAUCAGUCCUGACUGACAUACCAUGGUACCUGCUGCUUACUACAUUAGACUGUCACCAUUUCCAUCUUUCUAUUGCACUGGGGAUAAAACCUUGAGAAGAUCUGAAGCACUGGGCAGGAAUAUCAACAGGUUCCACCUCCUUGUCUGAGUUCCACAGGCAUGUGCACGUGGUAAGGGCACUAGGGAGGUUUUAUAAAUCAUAGUUUUGGUGGACAGCAUGGUGGGAUAACCUGGUGGAGUGUUACUAGAAAUUUCUAGAGAAAUAAAUGAAAGAGUAAUCACAUGGAAAUAUCAAAAAACCCACUCUAGGAGUAAUAAUACUGGAGGAAGAUCCUUUUGUAGUUCAUAAGCAUAAUGACUGGGUGCUUACACACAUGUGAGAUGUGCCACCCUCAAACCUUGUUACAUUGGCACACUAUCCAUUUGACAUGAACAACAACAACAAAAUACUGGAGGUGUCUUUUGUCCUUAAAAACACAGAGCUGGGCUAGGCACGGUGGCUCAUGCCUGUAAUCCCAACACUUUGGGACGCCUAGAUGGGAGGACUGCUUGAGCUCAAGAGUUUGGCCUGGGCAACAUGGCAAAACCCUGUCUCUACAAAUAGCAUAAAAAUUAGCUGGGUGACUGGGCAUGGUGGCUCACGCCUGUAAUCCCAGCACUUUGGGAGGCUGAGGCAGGUGGAUCACCUGAGGUCAGGAGUUCAAGACCAGCCUGACCAACACAGUGAAACCCUGUCUCUACUAAAAAUAUAAAAAUUAGCCGGGCGUGGUGGCACAUGCCUAUAAUCCCAGCUACUUGGGAGGCUAAGACAGGAGAGUCACCCGAACACAGGAGGCAGAGGUUGCAGUGAGCGGAGAUUGUGCCAUUGCACUCCAGCCUGGGCAACAAGAGCGAAACUGUCUCAAAAAAAAAAAAAAAAAUUAGCCAGGCAUGGUGGCGUGCACCUGUAGUCCCAGCUACUUGGGAGGCUGAGGUGGUAAGGAUCACUUGAGCCCAGGAGGUUGAGGCUGCAGUGAGCCGAUUGCGCCACUACACUCCAGCCUCAGCAACACAGCAAGACCCAGUUUCUUUUUUUUUCUUUCUUCUUUUUUUUUUUUUUGAGACGGAGUCUUGCUCUAUCGCCCCGGCUGGAGUGCAGUGGCGCGAUCUCGGCUCACUGCAAGCUCCAACUCCCGGGUUCACGCCAUUCUCCUGACUCAGCCUCAGGAGUAGUUGGGACUAUAGGCGCCUGCCACCACGCCUGCCUAAUUUUUUGUAUUUUUAGUAGAGACGGGGUUUCACCGUGUUAGCCAGGAUGUUCUCGAUCUCCUGACCUCGUGACUCGUGAUCCGCCUGCCU
rnacentral:lncRNA from 10 species